rnacentral:rRNA from 1 species
GACGAACGCUGGCGGCGUGCCUAAUACAUGCAAGUAGAACGCACAGUUUAUACCGUAGCUUGCUACACCAUAAACUGUGAGUUGCGAACGGGUGAGUAACGCGUAGGUAACCUGCCUGGUAGCGGGGGAUAACUAUUGGAAACGAUAGCUAAUACCGCAUAAUAUUGAUUAUUGCAUGAUAAUUGAUUGAAAGAUGCUGUUGCAUCACUACCAGAUGGACCUGCGUUGUAUUAGCUAGUAGGUGAGGUAACGGCUCACCUAGGCGACGAUACAUAGCCGACCUUAGAGGGUGAUCGGCCACACUGGGACUGAGACACGGCCCAGACGCCUACGGGAGGCAGCAGUAGGGAAUCUUCGGCAAUGGACGAAAGUCUGACCGAGCAACGCCGCGUGAGUGAAGAAGGUUUUCGGAUCGUAAAGCUCUGUUGUAAGAGAAGAACGGGUGUGAGAGUGGAAAGUUCACACUGUGACGGUAUCUUACCAGAAAGGGACGGCUAACUACGUG